rnacentral:rRNA from 1 species
UGGGAACGUGCCCUUUGGUUCGGAGCAACUCCGGGAAACUAGAGCUAAUACCGGAUAAGCCCUUCGGGGAAGAUUUAUCGCCAAAGGAUCGGCCCGCGUCUGAUUAGCUAGUUGGCGGGGUAAUGGCCCACCAAGGCGACGAUCAGUAGCUGGUCUGAGAGGAUGAUCAGCCACACUGGGACUGAGACACGGCCCAGACUCCUACGGGAGGCAG